UAAAAAAAAAGAAUAUCGAGUCAGCUGGGCAUGGUGGCACACGCCUUUAAUCCUAGCACUCAGGGAAGCAGAAGUAGGUGGAUCACUGUGAGUUUGAGGCCAGCCUGGUCUACAAAGUGAGUCCAGGAUAGCCAAGGCUUGUCUUGAAAAACCACACACACAUACAAAAUGUUGCAUCAGCACAGUACAAUAGAAGUUUUGAUUUUACUCUUUCAAACUGAAAGUUUAUAGUCCCUCAUGAAAUCUCCCCAAACCUUCCCAGCUGCGACUCUCUCGACUCCGGCAAUCAUCAUUCUACUUUCUGUUCCUAUAAGUUUGACGUUUUUAGAUUCCACACAUAAGGGUGAACGUGCAUUAUCUGCCUUUCCGCGAGCAGUGUAUUUCUCUUCGAUUAGUUCCACUCGGUUCAUCUGCACAAACCCGCGGAGCUUCCUGUGGCUGAAUCUACUAGGCUGUAAUAGUUACCCAGCUGGGUGUGGUGGCACCGCCUUAAUUCCCUCCGGGCACUCAGAAGCAGGGGCAGGCAGAUCUCGGUGAAAUAACUCGUGACAAAUUAACGAAGAACAUUUUUUUUUGGCCAAUCUGGGUCAAGUUGACAAAAUAGACUGAUACUCCUGCCAAGGACCACUCAUGGAGAUGGCCUGGAACCCCUGCACAGAGGUAGCCCAUGGCAGUUCAGUGUCCAAGUGGGUUCAUAGUAAUGGGAACAGGGACUGUCUCUGACAGGAACUGAUUGACCUGCUCUUUGAUCACCUCCCCCUUAGUGGGGAGCAGCCUUACCAGGCCACAGAAGAUGACAAUGCAGCCAUCCUGAUGAGACCUGAUGAACUAGGAUCAGAAGGAAGGAAAGGAAGAC